AGGUAAGCUACUAAGAGCGAAUGGUGGAUGCCUUGACUGGUAAAGGCGAUGAAGGACGUACUAGACUGCGAUAAGCUACGGGGAGCUGUCAAGAAGCUUUGAUCCGUAGAUUUCCGAAUGGGGCAACCCAAUGUAUAGAGAUAUACAUUACCUAUAUAGGAGCGAACGAGGGGAAUUGAAACAUCUUAGUACCCUCAGGAAAAGAAAUCAAUAGAGAUUGCGUCAGUAGCGGCGAGCGAAAGCGCAAGAGGGCAAACCCAGUGCUUGCACUGGGGGUUGUAGGACUGCAAUGUGCAAGAGGUGAGUUUAGCAGAACAUUCUGGAAAGUAUAGCCAUAGAGGGUGAUAGUCCCGUAUGCGAAAAACAAACCUUAGCUAGCAGUAUCCUGAGUAGGGCGGGACACGAGAAAUCCUGUCUGAAGCUGGGUCGACCACGAUCCAACCCUAAAUACUAAUACCAGAUCGAUAGUGCACAAGUACCGUGAGGGAAAGGUGAAAAGAACUGAGGUGAUCAGAGUGAAAUAGAACCUGAAACCAUUUGCUUACAAUCAUUCAGAGCCCUAUGUAGCAAUACAGGGUGAUGGACUGCCUUUUGCAUAAUGAGCCUGCGAGUUGUGGUGUCUGGCAAGGUUAAGCAAACGCGAAGCCGUAGCGAAAGCGAGUCUGAAUAGGGCGCUUAGUCAGAUGCUGCAGACCCGAAACGAAGUGAUCUAUCCAUGAGCAAGUUGAAGCUAGUGUAAGAACUAGUGGAGGACUGAACCCAUAGGCGUUGAAAAGCCCCGGGAUGACUUGUGGAUAGGGGUGAAAGGCCAAUCAAACUUCGUGAUAGCUGGUUCUCUCCGAAAUAUAUUUAGGUAUAGCGUUGUGUCGUAAUAUAAGGGGGUAGAGCACUGAAUGGGCUAGGGCAUACACCAAUGUACCAAACCCUAUCAAACUCCGAAUACCUUAUAUGUAAUCACAGCAGUCAGGCGGCGAGUGAUAAAAUCCGUCGUCAAGAGGGAAACAACCCAGACUACCAGCUAAGGUCCCUAAAUCUUACUUAAGUGGAAAACGAUGUGAAGUUACUUAAACAACCAGGAGGUUGGCUUAGAAGCAGCCAUCCUUUAAAGAAAGCGUAAUAGCUCACUGGUCUAGUGAUUUUGCGCGGAAAAUAUAACGGGGCUAAAGUAAGUACCGAAGCUGUAGACUUAGUUUACUAAGUGGUAGGAGAGCGUUCUAUUUGCGUCGAAGGUAUACCGGUAAGGAGUGCUGGAGCGAAUAGAAGUGAGCAUGCAGGCAUGAGUAGCGAUAAUUAAUGUGAGAAUCAUUAACGCCGUAAACCCAAGGUUUCCUACGCGAUGCUCGUCAUCGUAGGGUUAGUCGGGUCCUAAGUCGAGUCCGAAAGGGGUAGACGAUGGCAAAUUGGUUAAUAUUCCAAUACCAACAUUAGUGUGCGAUGGAAGGACGCUUAGGGCUAAGGGGGCUAGCGGAUGGAAGUGCUAGUCUAAGGUCGUAGGAGGUUAUACAGGCAAAUCCGUAUAACAAUACUCCGAGAACUGAAAGGCUUUUUGAAGUCUUCGGAUG
rnacentral:rRNA from 1 species